rnacentral:rRNA from 1 species
AACGAACGCUGGCGGCGUGUCUUAAGCAUGCAAGUCGAGCGGCAAGCGCAGCAAUGCGCCUAGAGCGGCGGACUGGUGAGUAACGCGUGGGUGAUCUGCCUUUGGGAUGGGGAUAGCCAUUAGAAAUAGUGGGUAAUACCGAAUACGUUCGUCGGACUGCGGUCCGAUGAGGAAAGGCGCUACGGCGCCGCCCGAAGAUGAGCCUGCGUCAGAUUAGCUAGUUGGUGGGGUAAUGGCUCACCAAGGCGAUGAUCUGUAGCCGGCCUGAGAGGGUGUACGGCCACAUUGGGACUGAGAUACGGCCCAAACUCCUACGGGUGGCUG